rnacentral:rRNA from 1 species
UACAGAGGUCCCAAGCGUUGUUCGGAUUCACUGGGCGUAAAGGGUGCGUAGGUGGUCAGGUAAGUCCGUUGUGAAAGCCCUGGGCUCAACCUGGGAAUGGCAGUGGAUACUGGAAAGCUAGAGUGCGGUAGAGGGUAGUGGAAUUCCCGGUGUAGCAGUGAAAUGCGUAGAGAUCGGGAGGAACAUCAGUUGCGAAGGCGGCUCUCUGGACCAGCACUGACACUGAGGCACGAAAGCGUGGGGGAGCAAACAGGA